GUUUCAGGUGUGGACUUUGAGUGGGCCAUUGCACUGCGUCUAUUGUUUUUCUUCCAGCUCUUCUGUAGUAGAGGCCAUGUCCUUAAACUCUUCCAUGUCCUUCAGUGACAACUCCUCGAACAUCCCCUUUUACUUAGCAUGUGAGCACUCAAUUCCCAGAAGAGCGAUAUUCACUUUGUACAGCAUUAUCAACACCUUCAUCCUCUUCCCACUCUACGUCAUCAUUCUCCACAUGGGGAUCCAGAGAUGGAGGCAUCAGCGCUUUGAACCUACAAGGAUGGCAAUGAGCCCAUCCAACUUCUUUACCCUCAACAUGACGAUUUCAGAGAUUAUUUGUGUUCUGGGAUCAGUUUUCUUUACUCUAGGCCUUUACACUAGAAGUCAGCUUUUGUACCUGUUGGGUGUGUUUUUUUUCGGUAUCAUUUUACCUGGACAAACUCUUUUUCAUGUCCUCACCUGUGUUGAUCGCUAUCUAGCUGUUGUUUACCCCAUCAUCUACAUGCAGAAAAGAGAAACACAUGGGGUCAAAAUGAGAAACAUCAGCAACAUUUGUGUUUGGCUGCUAUGCUUUGGAUGGGUGGGGGUGAUAAAGUUGUACUUGCCAAACUUUCCAGCUGUCCCUUUUUUCUCCAUUUUAGCGAUCAGCAUAUGUGUUAUGUUUUUCUGCUGCUUUUCUGUUCUCUGGGGUUUAACUCACCCAGCACCAGGGGAGGUGGGAGAUCAUGAGAAACAGGUUGACCAAACCAAGCAGAGGGCUUUUAUCAUGAUCUUGGCCAUAACUGUCACUUUAGUGUUGAGAUUUGCUGGACUCAUGGUGACUUUUGGUUUAAAAUAUAUGGACUUACUGGCCCAGAAACGGUUUUGUGGAUUGCUGGAUUGUGGAAUCUUACUGACCGUUCCCAGUAGUCUGGUUCUGCCUCUUCUGUUUCUGCACAGAGCAGGAAAGCUAACAUGCAGGAGAUAAACUAGUGUGUGAGGAGGAACAGUUUGGAUGACAACUUUCCAGACAGGAGAAAACCAGUCUAUUGUUUUGUUGAAAGUAGGUCCAAAAUUAACCAACCAGGAAGAUUUCAAGUACUGAAUUAACUAAAGUAAAGAAGGACAUAUAUCAAAGAGCUAAGAUUUCAGCUUAUUUGUCAUUAAUUGCACCAUUUGUAAAACAUUUUUAGUUCCAUAUGCUUGGAUCCUUGUUCAGUCAGUACCCUGUAAACUAGUUCCUAAUGCCUGUUUUAGCAGGAUGGUGCAUUAUAUGUUGCUUUUGGAAUAAUUAUUAGGAUUCAAUUAAAAUAAUUUUAUUUUGUAAGGAUUUGUAAUUAAUGUAUUGCUUUGUUUAUUGUAGCAGUUGCAAUGAUAGAAGAUGGGUAGGUUAAUUUGUAUUUAAGCAGUCUGUCAUAUAUUGUUAAUGUUGGUGAGUUUUACUGUAACAAUGCUGGGGCUGAAAAUAAAAGAAGCUUCCGCUGG